UUGAAAGUGAUACUUGGGGAGCUGAAGGGGUUUGCAACCCCAUAAGAACAACAAUACCAACCAACAAGGACUAAAUCACCAUCCAAAGAGUGCACAUGGACAGACCCAUGGCUCCAGCUUCAUGUGUAGCAGAGGAUGGCCUUGUUGGGCACCAAAGGGAGGAGAAGCCCUUGGUUCUACCAAGGCUGGAUCCCCCAGUGUAGGGGAACGUCAGGGUGGGGAGGCGAGAAGGGUUAAGUGGUUGGAUGGGGAAAAGGGGAUAACAUUUGAAAUGUAAAUAAAAAUAUAUCCAAUAAAAAAAAAAGAAAAAGAAAAUGAUACUUGAUCCCCAGUCCACAAAAAGAAUUAACAUAGGCCCAGCAGGGCAGUGGUAGCAGGUGCCUUUAACCCCAGCACUGUGGAGGUAGAGGCAAGUGGAUCUCUGUGAGUUUGAGGCCAGCCUGGUCUACAGAGUGAGAUCCAGGACAGCCAAGGAUACACAGUGAAACCUUGUCUUGAAGACAAAUAAAAAGCAACAAGAAGAAAAGAAGAAUUAACAUAGGCUCAAAAGUUGUAAAAAAAAAAAAAAAAACAAAACCCUUUUUAUGUAACUCAAAUGUGAAAUUUAAGGGCAAUUUCUUCUUCAUCAUCUUCUUCAUCAUCACCAUCAUCACCAUAAGUCAGCAGCUCUGCGGUUGGGUAGGCAAGCCAGUCCCACCUCUGAUAGACUGAGAAAACAGAGAACACAGAGGCCAAGAGACCAAUGAAGAGCUUGGAGUAGGAGUUCUGCUACAACUGGCUGUGACAUUGCAAGGGAGAGCAGGGGGCACUGGGUCAUUAGUCUCAUCUGAGAAGUGGGAGUUGCUUUCCUAAAAUGCCUUUUAGCAAACAGACUCCCGCUCCCAACUAUGAACAGACUACCGCAGACAUUUCCAAACCUGUGGCUAUUGUGGAAACUUGAUCUGUGGCUUUAUGUUACAUUCUGGUCCAGUUCUUAGGGUUGCCAAGGUAACUGACCAGCACGGAGGCCAACAAUGGAACUUCCGGAGGAAAUAGGUGUCAUUCUCCAGCAAGCAGAUUUUCAAGAGUAGCUUUGACAGCCUCCUGGGGUGUUACACAUUGCAACUCAAUAACAGCUGUCUUUCACACUGAUAAACUAGGACAACAGCAAUUGACACUACAUUGCUCUGGGCAAAAAAGUAGCUUCUUUCUCUCUCUCUCUCUCUCUCUCUCUCUCUCUCUCUCUCUCUCUCUCUCUGUGUGUGUGUGUGUGUGUGUGUGUGUGUGUGUGUGUGUGUGCCUGCACACAGUGCAUGGAAAAAGGUUAUUUCCAUGCAAGCAAAGCAUGGGAAAAGGUUAUCUGGGAAUCUAUAGUCAGCCCCUUACACGAGCUGAAGUCCGUUUGCACUGAGGUGAUUAGGAAAGAGCAGUGUAGGGAAGCGUCCGGAUGUAUUUUCACGGAGUCCAGGAGAGGAAACAGAUUUCAUCAUACUCCUUUGGAAGGGGGAUCUGAAAGGAAGCAUUGUGCCCUGAGAACCCAAGACAGCAGACGCAGGACUGGAGGGAUUAGGACUUCCUGAAGGAAAGCUCCACUGAGACCAAGUACAAAGGCGACAAGUGUAUUCUGUGACCGCCACCAUCUUUUCAACCCGAGAAGUCUUUCUUCAAAACUGUAGUAUGUGGGCCAGCCUGGUCUAUUUACAGAGUGAAUUCCAGGACAGCGGCACCACACAGAGAAACCCUGUCUUGAAGAAAAAAACAAAAAAUGAAACAAACUAACAACAAAAGAAAAGAAAAAACUUCAAUCUGUAAUAAACUUCCACAUCCUCUUUCAGUUUCUGAGUGACACUCUCUCGGGAUCUCUCCGCCCUAAGUUCUUCAACAGUUUCUACAUUCAGAUUCCAAGGCUUGUGCUCAUACAUAAUGCAUAACAUUUUUAAAAAAUUUAGUAUUAC
rnacentral:lncRNA from 1 species